rnacentral:tRNA from 1 species
GUCCCCGUAGCUCAACCGGAUAGAGCGUCGGCCUCCGGAGCCGAAGGUUGCAGGUUCGACUCCUGCCGGGGAUA